UUCACUUGUGUGCCAUUGGUCUUGGCCAU
rnacentral:piRNA from 1 species